CCUACGGGAGGCAGCAGUGAGGAAUAUUGGUCAAUGGGCGCGAGCCUGAACCAGCCAAGUAGCGUGAAGGAUGACUGCCCUACGGGUUGUAAACUUCUUUUAUAAAGGAAUAAAGUGAGGCACGUGUGCCGUUUUGUAUGUACUGUAUGAAUAAGGAUCGGCUAACUCCGUGCCAGCAGCCGCGGUAAUACGGAGGAUCCGAGCGUUAUCCGGAUUUAUUGGGUUUAAAGGGAGCGUAGAUGGGUUGUUAAGUCAGUUGUGAAAGUUUGCGGCUCAACCGUAAAAUUGCAAUGGAUACUGGCAGUCUUGAGUGGGAGAGAAGUAUGCGGAAUGCGUGGUGUAGCGGUGAAAUGCAUAGAUAUCACGCAGAACACCGAUUGCGAAGGCAGCAUGCCGGCUUCCGACUGACGCUGAAGCACGAAAGCGUGGGGAUCGAACAGGAUUAGAUACCCGGGUAGUC
rnacentral:rRNA from 1 species